AUUGAACGCUGGCGGCAUGCCUUACACAUGCAAGUCGAACGGUAACGCGGGGCAACCUGGCGACGAGUGGCGAACGGGUGAGUAAUGCAUCGGAACGUGCCCAGUAGUGGGGGAUAGCCCGGCGAAAGCCGGAUUAAUACCGCAUACGACCUACGGGUGAAAGGGGGGGAUCGCAAGACCUCUCGCUAUUGGAGCGGCCGAUGUCAGAUUAGGUAGUUGGUGGGGUAAAGGCCUACCAAGCCGACGAUCUGUAGCUGGUCUGAGAGGACGACCAGCCACACUGGGACGGAGACAGGGCCCAGACUCCUACGGGAGGCAGCAGUGGGGAAUUUUGGACAAUGGGCGCAAGCCUGAUUCAGCCAUGCCGCGUGCGGGAAGAAGGCCUUCGGGUUGUAAACCGCUUUUGUCAGGGAAGAAAUCUUCUGGGUUAAUACCUCGGGAGGAUGACGGUACCUGAAGAAUAAGCACCGGCUAACUACGUGCCAGCCGCCGCAGUAACAC
rnacentral:rRNA from 1 species